rnacentral:rRNA from 1 species
AUACAGAGGGUGCAAGCGUUAAUCGGAAUUACUGGGCGUAAAGCGCGCGUAGGCGGUUUGAUAAGUCGGAUGUGAAAUCCCUGGGCUCAACCUGGGAACUGCAUUCGAAACUGUCUGACUAGAGUAUGGUAGAGGGUGGUGGAAUCCCUAGUGUAGCGGUGAAAUGCGUAGAUAUUAGGAGGAACAUCAGUGGCGAAGGCGACCACCUGGACCAAUACUGACGCUGAGGUGCGAAAGCGUGGGGAGCAAACAGGAUUAGAUACCCUAGUAGUCC